GCGGUGUGGACACCUGCGGCAAGUCUGAGAACCCGAAUUUAAUCCCCGAGGCUUACACGGUAGAAAAAGAGAACUGAUUGCCCACACGCACGCUGUGGUGUGUGUGUGUACAGCACACACCUCCAAAUAAAUAUAUGUAAUAAAAAAAUUACCCCCAGUGAAGGCUGGGCUCUUACCCACAGGGCUUCGUGAAUACCAGAGCGCCUCCUAAUGGUGCCGGAAUCCAACUGUGGAAACCCAUUCUCCUGGGCUCUCCUUUAAAUAGAGUGAGUUUAUGUUGGGGUGAGUUUGUUUCCUCUCCCGACCUUAAAGUCUUACCCCAAUGCCUCAGAAUGUAGCUGUAUUUGAAGGUGGGAUCUUGAUGGAAAUGACCGCCUUGAAAUGAUGUCACGACAACAGUCUGAAUCCAAUGUGACGAGUGUCUUUAGCAGAGGGCAGCAAUGAGCCAGAGGGAAGACGGUGCCGACACAGCGCGACAAACCUUGGGCUGGUUCCCCUGGGGAAACAGAGUGACAGGUGACAGGAAAGAAACGUGGGAAUCAGCUCGAGAGGUUAUAGAGGUGAAAAAGCCCACAGUCUCAUUCUCCGUUCUAUCUUGGUUUACUGAAGAUCUCGGUGGACGAGGCCCACUCACACUGGGUGGGAGUCUGCUUUUCUUACUCCGUUUCCUGCAAGGUUAAUGUCUUCUAAAAACACCUUCAGAAAUAGACCUAUAAAUUACGGCCAUUCAGCCGACGAAGCACCCUAGGGUUGGCCCAAGUCAUGUUGAGCGCACAGCGAAUGACUACAGGCUGGAUCAGAGCCUCUGUCUCCGCGUUGUAAAAGACUGCUGCUGCUUUCAUCCUAAUGCCUAGCCUUCCGAACACCGACUGUCAGCAUCAGCUGGUUGAGCCACCCGAUCCAAGAAAUCCUCUCCCUGGGGAAGGAGUAUGACCUGACCUGCAAAUCCCAGGAAGAGUGUGUAGUGGAGGAGAGGAUGCCGGGAGACCGGAAGUAGACUUUGUCUUCUUUGGGUUUAUAAAAACACACUUAACAAAACCCUUUCAAUAGAUGGAGUCAGGGUCACAGUGUGGAAGGAGAGCAUGCUACAUUUGAGUCCGGACUCGGUUGUUAUUAUCAGCUGUGUGACCAAGAGAAUUGUUCUAUGAAUCUGAUGUUUCGUGCCUUCACUUAUGGAUGGGAAAAGUGAGAAAGACAACUCACUACAGUGCAGUACUAACAAAGGAAAUGAUGUAUUCCAUACAGGACUAAGGAAUGAUUGCCACCACAAUUAGUGUAAUAAUGGUGGUGGUGGUGAUGGUGAUGAUGGUGGUGGUGGUGAUGAUGAUGAUGAAGAUGAUGGUGCUGGGACUUUGCUAUGGCGUGAAAUAGAAUUCAAAUCUACCCUUUUGGAGCUGGAGAGGUUGCCCUGUUAAGACUGCUCUCACAGUUUGCUGCUUAUGCAGAGGACCUGAACUUAGUUCCCAGCACUCUUGCCGGGCAGCCCAUACCUUCCUGAAACUCCAGUUCCAGAGGAUCUGCUGCCCUCUUCUGGCCUGCGUGGACACCAACAAACCUGCAGACACAUGGUGCAUAAGUUAAAAUCUGUAAACAACUUCCUUUCUGUGUAUGUGUACGUGUAAAGUAUGAUGUGUGUGUUU
rnacentral:lncRNA from 1 species